rnacentral:rRNA from 1 species
CAUUACCGAGUACUAUAACUCAUAACCCUUUGUGAACCUUUAUACCUGUUGCUUCGGCGGCGCGCCUCCCGGGGCGUGCCCGCCGGCAUUAUCAGAAUCUCUGUUCGAACCCGACGAUACAUCUGAGUGUUCUAAGCGAACUGUUAAAACUUUCAACAACGGAUCUCUUGGCUCCAGCAUCGAUGAAGAACGCAGCGAAACGCGAUAUGUAAUGUGAAUUGCAGAAUUCAGUGAAUCAUCGAAUCUUUGAACGCACAUGGCGCCUUCCAGUAUCCUGGGAGGCAUGCCUGUCCGAGCGUCGUUUCAACCCUCGAGCCCCCGUGGCCCGGCGUUGGGGAUCUGCCCAGGCAGUCCCCGAAAACCAGUGGCGGACCCGUUGGGCCCUUCCUUUGCGUAGUAACAUCUGCCUCGCAUCGGGAGCCUGCGGGCUAUCCGGCCUCUAAACCCCCCUCAAGCCCGCUCCGGCGGCACCAAGGUUGACCUCGGAUCAGGUAGGAAUACCCGCUGAACUUAAGCAUAUCAAUAAGCGGAGGAAAAGAAACCAACAGGGAUUGCCCCAGUAAC